UACGGAGGGUGCAAGCGUUAUCCGGAUUUAUUGGGUUUAAAGGGUGCGCAGGCGGGACUAUAAGUCAGUGGUGAAAGCCUACAGCUUAACUGUAGAACUGCCAUUGAUACUGUAGCCCUUGAGUGCAGCUGAAGAGGGCGGAAUGUGUUGUGUAGCGGUGAAAUGCUUAGAUAUAACACAGAACACCGAUUGCGAAGGCAGCUCUCUAAACUGCAACUGACGCUCAGGCACGAAAGCGUGGGGAUCAAACAGGAUUAGAUACCCUGGUAGUCCACGCCCUAAACGAUGAUUACUGGAUGUUGGCGAUACACAGUCAGCGUCUAAGCGAAAGCAUUAAGUAAUCCACCUGGGGAGUACGGUCGCAAGACUGAA
rnacentral:rRNA from 1 species